rnacentral:tRNA from 1 species
CAGUAAAUAUUUUAAAUAAAAUAUUAAUUUUGGAGAUUAAAGAUGGAAUUUUUUUCUUUACUGA